rnacentral:lncRNA from 10 species
GCUGACGUCACUACCCUGGCUUGGAGAGGCUGUUGCUGAGCCGGCUCCAACCGGCUGGAAGGCGGGAAGCUGUUUCGCCUGGAGGCUCGCGCGCUUUUUGGAAUUCAGUUAUCAAGCUUUAGAGCCUGGCUACUCACAGUUGAAGCCUGAUUGCAGGGUUCUUUUAACUCUUCUCUCCACACCCGCACUGGAGACCACUGGUAACCAUCUGUGGCCAUCACCUAAACUCUCACCCAGUAGAGAUGGGGUUUCACCAUGUUAGCCAGGAUGGUCUCGAUCUCCUGACCUCAUGAUCUGCCCGCCUCAGCCUCCCAAGUGCUGGGAUUACAGGCGUGAGCCACAAUGCCCGGCCCACGUUUUGCUGUUAAUAAUGAUGGUGCUGAAGACUAUGGCUUUGAUGACUAGUUCUGCUUUAAGAAAACAUUCCGUUGAUUUGUACAAAUAGCACAAGAGGACACCAACUCCAUGCAGAUGGCAGCCCAGCAGGUCACACCAGUCCUUCUGUCCUCACACUGGCAGACAGAGGCCUCCUCUCUGGAGUCUUCACAGGGGCCUGAGCUAGAGCUGGAAAUGCAGCUGGAGCUGCAGCCAAAGCUGGGGCUGCAGGGCCUUGAUUUGAGACUUGGCCUUGGUCUUGGGUGGGCAGAGGUAAGACCCUUGGCAAUGCAGGCAGGAGCACGCUUCCCGAGCUUGGGGUAGGCAAUGUAGGCAAGUCAAUUGAGCUUCUGGAUGAUGUGCUUUGGGAUUUGGGACUUAACCUCCUUGGCCUUUUUGAGGACUUUGAUAGACUUGGCAUACAGACACAUGGCAUUGGUACUGUUGGCCCGCUUCUUAUUCACGCCCUUCUUGUUGUGCUUCUUGGCAAAGCACAUGUUCCUCAGGAACUUGGGGUCUACCCCAUUAAGAGGUUUGUAUCUUUGUUAUCACAGUUUCUUGAUGUCAUUUCUGUACCAUUUUUGGGACUGGUUGUGUGUGGUGUGGUUCUUGGACUUGGCCAUGUCUACAUCAUAACCUGUGGCUCCAGAAGCUCUUGGGACCAGAAGAGAAAGAACCAAAAAGUGAAUUUUAUUUUAAAAAAAUGUUUUGAGACAGGGUCUCAUUCUGAUGCCCAGGUUGGGGUGCAGUGGCACAAUCAUGGCUCACUGCAGCCUCAACCUAGCCAUCCUCCUGCCUCAGCCUCCUGAGUAGCUGGGACUGCAGAAGUGCACUACCAUGCCCAGCUAAUUUUUGAAAUUUUCUGCAGAGACAAGGUCUCACUAUGUUGCCCAGGCUGGUCUCAAACUCUUGAGCUUAAGUGUUCCUCCUACCUCGGCCUCCCAAAGUACUGGGAUUAUAGGUGUGAACCACCAUACCCAGGCUCAAAAAGUGAAUUUAAAAAUAAGUAACUGCUAGAUAGUAUUAAAAUAUUAUCAUUUGGAACAAGUGAAAAAUAUUUUCACGUAGCCAGGCUGAGUUCCAGAAUGAAUUUAGUUUAAUUGCUUUGCUUAAUUUUUUUUGAGACAGAGUCUCACUCUGUUGCCCAGGCUGGAGUGCAGUGGCGCGAUCUUGGCUCACUGCAACCUCUGCCUCCUGAAUUCCAGCGAUUCUCUUGCCUCAGCCUCCUGAGUAUCUAGGAUCACAGACGCCUGCCACUAUGUCUGGCUAAUUUUUGUAUGUUUUUCAGAGACAAGGUUUCGCCAUGUUGCCUAGGCUGGUCUCUAACCCCUGAGCUCCGGUGAUUCACCCGCCUCAGCUUCCCAAAGUGCUGGGAUUACAGACAUGAGCCACUGUGCCGGCCUGUUUUGCUUAAUAUUGAUUGCUUUUAGUUUCAGCUUUCAAUCACAAAAGACAAUCAUGCAGUAGAUAAUUAAGUGUAAUAUGGAUUACUUUGAAACUUAGCAAUGAGAGUCUUUUUUUUUCUUUUUAUACAAAAUUCCUCUAAAAUGGGAAUAUUUUUCACAUAAAAUAAAGGGAAACUUAGAAAAUGUGUCUAAGUAUAAUGGAAGCAUUCAAAUGUUUGUUUUAAGCUUUCUAAUACAUUUAUUUGUACAGAUCAAGACUUACUAAUAUGCUAAAAAGGAACAGUUAAAAUAAACUAUUGUACAUUCUUAAAA